rnacentral:lncRNA from 1 species
UUCACUAUUUUUUAGGAUGAACCAAAUUGUUGAUAUGUUGAAUGCUCUAUAGGUUGACGACUUGAUGUUCAACAAAGGUAAAUACUUAUAUUUUUUUGAAUCAUUUUCUUUGCUUUGAUUAACUAAAUACUUAUAUUUUCUUUGCUUCAAGUGUUGGCUGUGCAGCCUGUGCUGUUGUUACUUGUCAAGCUGUCCAAGAGACCAAGACUCCAAGUGCUGUGUGGUUGUCCAAACUCCAAGACCAAGAGUCCAAGAAACGAAGACUCCAAGAUCCUAUGUGCCUGUGUUGGCGUCUUGGCCAAGACGCUAUUUCAUUCCUUACUGUUUUUGUUCUUUGCUGUCCAACAUUCCUAGAGACUAAGAUCAUGUGUCCCUAGUCCCUUGCUGUUUUGUUGAAUACUUUGAAGUUUGGUUAAAGUGUAGCUUCAAGUGUGGUUGUG